rnacentral:misc_RNA from 1 species
UACGAAGGGAGCGAGCGUUGUUCGGAAUCACUGGGCGUAAAGCGUGCGUAGGCGGAAGUGUAAGUCAGAAGUGAAAGCCCAGGGCUCAACCUUGGAAUUGCUUUUGAGACUGCAUUUCUAGAAUUCGGUAGAGGCUAGUGGAAUGUCCAGUGUAGAGGUGAAAUUCGCAGAUAUUGGACGGAACACCAGUGGCGAAGGCGACUAGCUGGGCCGAUAUCGACGCUGAGGCACGAAAGCGUGGGUAGCAAACAGG